rnacentral:rRNA from 2 species
GCUGGCGGCAGGCCUAACACAUGCAAGUCGAACGGUAACAGGAAGCAGCUUGCUGCUUUGCUGACGAGUGGCGGACGGGUGAGUAAUGUCUGGGAAACUGCCUGAUGGAGGGGGAUAACUACUGGAAACGGUAGCUAAUACCGCAUAACGUCGCAAGACCAAAGAGGGGGACCUUCGGGCCUCUUGCCAUCAGAUGUGCCCAGAUGGGAUUAGCUAGUAGGUGGGGUAACGGCUCACCUAGGCGACGAUCCCUAGCUGGUCUGAGAGGAUGACCAGCCACACUGGAACUGAGACACGGUCCAGACUCCUACGGGAGGCAGCAGUGGGGAAUAUUGCACAAUGGGCGCAAGCCUGAUGCAGCCAUGCCGCGUGUAUGAAGAAGGCCUUCGGGUUGUAAAGUACUUUCAGCGGGGAGGAAGGCGAUGCGGUUAAUAACCGCGUCGAUUGACGUUACCCGCAGAAGAAGCACCGGCUAACUCCGUGCCAGCAGCCGCGGUAAUACGGAGGGUGCAAGCGUUAAUCGGAAUUACUGGGCGUAAAGCGCACGCAGGCGGUCUGUCAAGUCGGAUGUGAAAUCCCCGGGCUCAACCUGGGAACUGCAUCCGAAACUGGCAGGCUUGAGUCUCGUAGAGGGGGGUAGAAUUCCAGGUGUAGCGGUGAAAUGCGUAGAGAUCUGGAGGAAUACCGGUGGCGAAGGCGGCCCCCUGGACGAAGACUGACGCUCAGGUG